rnacentral:rRNA from 1 species
UACGUAGGGUGCGAGGCGUUGUCCGGAAUUACUGGGCGUAAAGAGCUCGUAGGUGGUUUGUCGCGUUGUUCGUGAAAACUCACGGCUUAACUGUGAGCGUGCGGGCGAUACGGGCAGACUGGAGUACUGCAGGGGAGACUGGAAUUCCUGGUGUAGCGGUGGAAUGCGCAGAUAUCAGGAGGAACACCGGUGGCGAAGGCGGGUCUCUGGGCAGUAACUGACGCUGAGGAGCGAAAGCGUGGGGAGCGAACAGG